UUCAGGUUUCUAGCUAAGUUAUGGAAUGGCACAAAGCCGAGUGGUCUUACCAUCGAGAACUCCAUCUCGAGCUGUGGAAGAACUUGACGACUCGCAGUUUGCUAGGCUCUUGAAAGUCUGCUCCGACUCCAAAGAUCUGGUCAAGGGGCGACUCAUCCACGAUCAGAUCCGGCACAGCAGGUACCGCGACAAUACUUUCCUCGCCAACUUACUCGUCCAGAUGUAUGGAAAAUGCGGAAGUACUACGGAGGCUCGCAGAACGUUCGACUCCAUUGCUCGGCCCAACGAGUUCUCGUGCAACAUGCUCAUCGCAGCUUAUGCCAGCAACGGGCAGAUCGACCAGGCGGAGGGGGUUUUCGACUCGAUGGGCGACAAGAGCGUAGUAUCCUGGACGUCAAUGCUCUCGGGUUAUAUCAGGCACAGGAGGAUCAGAGACGCCGAGAGGAUCUUCCACAGGAUGCCCGACCGGAACCUGGUAACGUGGACGACAAUGCUAUCGGCAUACACCCAGAACGGGUAUCUGGACGAAGCUAGGUGCCUGUUCGAGCGAAUACCAAGCUGUGACAUGGUGGCUCUGACGGCUAUGCUGAGAACUUAUGCCGAGAAUGGCUACCUGGAAGAGGCUCGUAGCAUCUUUGACGGCAUGCCAGUACAGGAUAUUGUUUCGUGGACGACGAUGGUUCAAGCGUAUGCUCAAGCUGGGGAAAUCAGCCAAGCUCAGCAUCUGUUCGACGGAAUGCCCGAGCGGAACGUCGUGUGCUGGACUGCUCUGCUGCAAGGCUACGCCGAGACUCAGCAGCUGAACAGCGCUCAGAAGAUCUUCGACGGGAUGCCGCAGCAUGACGUUCUCUCCUGGGCGACGCUGAUGACCGGCUACGCUCAAAACGGGCACCUGGAAAGAGCCAAGGAGAUCUUCGACGCAAUGCCGGUGACGAGCAUCGUUCCAUUCACGAUCAUGGUCAGUGCUUACAACGAGAGGGGUCUUCUCGAGGACUCCAAGAGCGUCUUCGACGUGAUGCCGUGCUGGGACAUGGUGAGCUGCUGCUCCAUGGCCGUGGCUUACAUCCGAAAGGGUCACCUCCGGGAAGCUCAAGACAUGUUUGGCAACCUCCAAGAGCACACGGUGGAGUCGUGGACUGCGAUCUUCCAGGCGUAUGCCCGCGACGGGUACCUCGAGCAGGCCAAGUUUAUGCACGACAGGAUGCCUUUCCACGACAGUGUCUCUUCCACCAGCUUGGUCAUCGCCUACGCCCAGCACGGUUAUCUGGACGAGGCCAGGAGCUUGUUCGACGUUAUGCCGGAGAAGAACAUCGUUUCCUGGACCGCCAUGGUCGGAGCUUACGCUCAAACUGGCAGAAUCAGCGAGGCCCGAGCUCUCUUCGAUGGCAUUCCCGAGCAAGAUACAGUCCCCUGGAACGCGGUCAUUUCCGGCUACUCGAGAACUGGCCGAGGGAGGAUCGCCAUCCAGCUUUUCCACGAGAUGUUGCUCGAGGGACUCAAGCCCAACGAGAUAUCCUUGCAGAGCGUUAUGGCGGCGUGCAGCCAUGUUGGCCUGGUGAAGAGAGGCCUGCAGUACCUGUGCUCGGCCACUCACGACUUUGGCAUCGUUUGUGCGAGGGAGCACUUUGCGUGCCUUGUGGACGUUCUCGGGAGGGCUGGCCAGUUUAGAGACGCUCGGGAGCUCAUCUUUCGAAUGCCUUUCAAGUCGGACUUCGUUUCUUGGACGACUCUCGUUGGCUCUUUUCAGUCCAACGCAUCUCAGUUCUUCCCGGCAAAGGCGAGGAGCUACACUGAAGAUCCAGAGGAGCUCAAACUUGGGAACCCUGUCCGCCGGUAAUGGACAAUUGACGAUGAGCUUUCCGCGCAUGGCGCCUUUGUAGAUGUACCUCUACAACAUCGAUGAAAUCCUGUUUGCUGUGGAAGGCGCCAAUCCAUUUGGUGUGAUCGGGUGUCCUGGACAAGACGAACUUGUGAAGAAGACGGUCGCUGGAAUGAGCGUAAUGUCGAAAUAGUGAAGAUAGACUUGGAUCUCUUGUGCGUCGACAUCCACGAGCGCAAUGCUUGCGAAUUUGGACAGCUCCCGAGAACUUUUGCCAAGCUGAAGAAGAAGAGCAGCCAAGAAAGUGAUUGCAGUGCGAAACUAAUCACUCACUGUCUCGUCCAGCUGCAUGCACACGGGAUCCGUGGCGCGCCCAAAUCUGAGCACCAACACUUUGUCUAGGGUGUCCCGGAUCAUAGCAUCCACAUCCUGCUUGUGAGUUAGCGUGGAGAGGCCCAGAAGCGCCAUUGCAAACGCCCUAAGAAUUAAAAUAAUAAAUUUAUAAAUAUUAUAUUUA